AUAUGGAACAUCAUGUGCAGUUCGAGAUCAGCACAUAUAGAGAAAUUGUCUGGACAGAAUAUACACAAUAGAUGUUUACAGUGAAAAAGUCAUGUCAUCUGAAUCAGGAGAGAAAUAUGCACAGAUAAAGCACCAUUUACGAAUGAAGACAGUUCUAAAUGUGUUGGUGGAUUUUGGAUGUGAGAGGACAACAGGGAAUGGACUUUCAAAAGUGUUUGGACUCUCAUUCUGACGGCACCCAUUCACAUACAUUGGUGAGCAAGUGCUAAAUGCUAAAUUUCUCCAAAUCGGUUCAGAUUAAGAAACAAACUACAACUUGGAUGGCCUGAGGAACUGUCCCUGCUGGGCUCGUGAUGGCGACUGACAGCUGUCACUGUGACUUUGAUGACAGCAGAGUGAGCUGGCCUGAGGGUUAAAACAUAGACACACAAUUUUGCUCAUACAGUUUAUAUUCCUUUGUAAUUUCUCUUUUUCAUUAGGUAGCUUUGGCUUGAUUUCAGUCUCAAGGCGUAAGGAUGAUCUGAUCCGAUACUCAGUAUUGUAUCAAACCAAUAUGUUUUGCAUUUUUAUUUUAGUUUGGAUAUUGGUCAGACAGAGCCAAUCCAAGUCUGAUACUCUCUAUUAUGGUCAUAAAAUAACAUAGCUAAGAGUACAAGUACAACAAAAUAUUAUAAGACAAAAGCCCCAUAAAUAUUUUUGUCCACUAUAUUCCAGGUCCUUUGAAGCUUUCUUUGAGGAACAAGCAGUAUAUUAAGUUAAAUUUACAUUCACAGAAGCUCUUCGCUUCGCUGCAGCAGUCACAUCACAUCAGUUUGUGCUCAAAACUUUCCAUUAUGGAGCGACAUUCACCUGUGACUCAGAAAAGUGACGUUGCUUUAAAGCACAUCAUUGUAUGCAUAAGCACUUCUGUGUCACUCUGCACUGGAACUUUUCUGUUUUUCACAAUCGUGUCAUGAAAAUGUUUCUCCUAUCCAUUUUUUUUCUGUUAUCCCGAAUCUGUGACAUACAUUCUGAAGAAACAGUAGUGUGUAUAUAGAAAAAAUGCAUUGUUCAUAAGAUUUUAAGAACAUUUUGACUUCUGUAACAUGACUGUAUCUUGCAAUUGUACAGCAGAUGUACAGCAGAGGUUCUACACUUAAAUUAAUUGGAACUGAUGUUAAUUUUAAUGUUGUUUUUCAUGUGUCCAUACUGCAUAUCACUGUUUACACAAAAAUAUUAAGUAGCAACACUGAUAGUAAUAAAAUGUUUUUUUGAGCAGCAAAUUAGCAUAUCAGAAUAAUUUUGCCUUUGACACUGAAGACUGAAGUAAUGAUGCUGAAAAUUCAGCUUUACUAUCGCAGAAAUAAAUUACAUUUUAAAACAUCAAAACAGAAACCAGUCAUUUUAAAUUGCAAUAUAAUUUCACAUUAUUACUGUUUUUACUUUUGAUCAAAUAAACACAGCCUUGAUGAGCAUAAGAGAUGUCUUUCAAAAAAAUAUAUUAAAGAAAACUAUUCUAAACUUUUGAACAGUAUAUUCUUUCUGGUUCUUGAAUCUGAUUGGCUGAUAUUACAGUGCAAUAUUCAAAUGAUUUUGGAACUCCAACCAUCAACGUUUGUAUCACUCCACUUGCAGUAUUUCUCACAGCGAGUGUCAUGGCAGACACCCAAAUCCACUAUAAUUUUAUACGUAAUACUGUUUUUGUGUCACAGAAUGUGGUUUUUAGGCGAGAAUACACUUGUUUAGACUUCAAAUGUGCCAGUAAAGAUAACAUCUAUUUGAAAUUUUGCUUUGAUAUUUUUGGAGAUAUGAGCUCCAGGAUGUCAGCGGCCGUUCAGUGCUCAUGAAGGCAAAAUCUCAUCACAUCAUAUUUUAUGUAAAUCUAAUGCUGUAUAUCAACGCGCUGCCUGUGUACUAUUGACUGAAUUGCA